UUAAGAUGUCGGGAAUGUGUUAGACGAAUGAUUUUGUUUUAUGGAGCUUUGAAGAGCGAUGAAUGGCACUAAAGUUGUGCCAAAUGGAUAUCUCAAACACCCAUUGUUGAUGUGUGAUGCUGAUAAUACAGAGACAGCUAGAGUGACAGAGUUUGAUGAAUAAACUUAAAUUAAAAAACAGAAAUAACCACCAUCUCUCUCAGAGGUCAUCUUUCUCAUUAUUGUGGGGAAACCUCAAAGGGCAUCAGGAAAACCUUCAUCAACCUCUUUGUGCGCAGUGGCUUGUGCAACAGUGUUUCAGAAAUUAUCAUUAAAAUGGGGAUAAUGGAUGACUGGCCACACAUAUGGGGCUAUGGACAAGCUUCAGAGCAGGCUGCCAGGUGG